rnacentral:rRNA from 1 species
GAUGAACGCUGGCUGCGUGCUUAACACAUGCAAGUCGAACGGUGAACCUCUUCGGAGGGGAUCAGUUGCGAACGGGUGAGUAACACGUUGGCAACCUGCCCCCGUCUCUGUUAUAACUCCAAGAAAUUGGGGCUAAUACCGGAUGUUCACCGCUUCCCGCAUGGGUGGUUGUGGAAAGGGUUUCCGGCUGGGGAUGAUCGCGCGGCCUAUCAGCCUGUUGGUUGGGUAGUGGCCUACCAAGGCGACGACGGAUAGCCGGCCUGAGAGUGUGACCGGCCACACGGGGAAUGAGACUAGGCGCAGACUCAUAGAGGAGGAAGGAGUGAGGAACAUGGCGCAGAGGGCGGAAGGCUGAGGCAACGACGCCGCGUGGGGGAGGUCUGCAUUCGGGUUGUAAACCUCUAUGAGCGCGGACGGAGCGUAAGUGACGGUACCUGACGAAGAAGCACCGGCCAACUACGUG